AUCCGGCUGCCGAGUCCCAAAUAAGACGAAAAGUGCAUCCUGGAU
rfam:Schistosoma haematobium scaffold1339_1, whole genome shotgun sequence.